rnacentral:lncRNA from 1 species
AUCUGGAUUUUGAGUUCCUGGGGGAUACAAAUUGAAGUUCGAGCUAUUUUUACUGUUGUUCUGUUGAGUAGCUACUGAACCUCGAUAGGAUUCGGAAUCAAAAGGUGUAUUGUCGUGAACAUAGUUAUUAAAUGGAUUUGAAAUUUCAGGUUCAGUUUCUUUCUCUUUCGCAUCUCUGUUAUAAAGUAUAUUUGAACAAUGAGAUUUUGUUCAGAAUGAUGUUUGGUUUUGGGCGUAAUUCUUUUGUGGUUGAAGUGCUUCACAACGGUGUGAUGUAUUUGAAUAUUUUUAGUUAGUAGAAGUUGAUUUUGAGUGGUCAUUUUUCUAUGAUUUAAUAGUUAUUGUGAUGUUGAGUUUCAUUUGAGUCAAGGUUUUGUCGCUUUCAAAUGAACGAUGUGCUCAACUUCCGUGAUUGCUAAGCGAGCAUGAAACUGUGAGGUUAUUUUUCAUUUUGUGUGCUCUAAAUGAUCUGCUCCCAUGAGAUCAUUGUGUUUAUCAGAAUUUUUCUUUCUUUAGGCUAGAAUUUACUAAAUUGUUUAAUCUUCUUUUUCCCUAGUUUUUAUUACUAUUUGACCUGUUCUUGCUUGUCUGGAGCUGCUGAAGUUCUCCUCAACAGUAUGCGAUCCUUAUGUCUUAUCAUUUGAGAUGACCAGUGAGUUUCAUGUCUCCAGUGGUCAUUUCUGUUUGUUGAACAUCUUAAAACAACAUUUAACAUGUAACUUAUUAGUGUGUGUUUUGCUUCACUUGAAAGCAGCUGAUAUCUGUUAGCUUUUCUUGAAUCUUUUGUCCUGUUGAAGCAUAAAGGAUGAGACUCCAUCCCCUGACUAAAUGGUUAAAUGCUUUGUUUUAAUCGAUGGUUGAGGCGUGUUGUUUUAUCUUGGUUUUGUUUUAUAGAAGAUGGCAGUGUUUAGCCCGAGCUAGCAACAGAGUCACGAGUUUGAUAUUAGGGAAAGUGUUUCUUUUACUGCAAUAUUGUUUGAAAGCAUAUGAGUAUAUGGUCGAAUCCCUGUUUAUGAAUCUGUGUCGACUGGCGAAAGAGAUAGAUAAGCCAGUUAAAUGAGGAGAUGAGUUCGGAGACAGAUUGUUGGAUGAACAUCUUAAUUAUGCUUGGGUUAACUUUGAUUGUUUCUUGUGUGGAAUGAUAACAAGAUGAACGUGAUAAAACUCGACGACAUAGGCCUAAAGUAUCCUAAGGGUUUUGUUUACUCAGCGUAGUAGAAUUACAUAUUGAACAGACUCUCUUAAUUGCUGCAUGACCUCCCAGAAUGGCUGCUACAGAUGGGUUUGUAGAUUUGAAUGUUGAGUUGUUUGCGAGGUCUAUUUGUGUUCAAAUCAUAUACAUUUUACCCUUAAGUUAGGUUAAAGCGUAUGAAUAGCCAAACUGUUAUCAUGUUUAACAUCUAUGUAUUACCAUUAAUCAUGUGUCUGUAGAUUUUAACGAAAGCAAUGGGGCUGUUUGACACUAAAAUGUUCACUCAUUGAGGGUAAAUAUGAAUAGCCAAAUUGUUAUUAUGUUUAAUACAUAAUCAUAUGUUUGUGGAUUUUAACAAACUAGGUAUCUGAUAUUUGUCAGCUGCGAUUUGUCUAACACUCCUGAACGUAGAAAUUUAAAGGGGUAAUCUCUGAAAGUGUUGGAUGAUUGGGAUAAAGGAUCUUCACAGAAGCUAUUCUUUGAACUCUGCUUUGGAACAUGUGGUCUUUUAAUAGCUGAAUGAAAAGAUAAUUCUAUGGUAGUUUUGCCCUCUACUGUUUUCAUGGCUGUGAUUAUGUGCUUGGACUUGACAGAAAGGCAUCUGAGUCGUGUUUUCAUAUUAUUGUUGUUUUGACCUUGGAUUGCUGCAAUCAUCAUCUUCCAAUUUUGAUGUUUAUUGAAUCUCAAGGGGUGUAACUCAGAUUUCCAAACUGACCCUUCCUCGAAAUAUAUUUUGUUUGGCUUAGCUUGUAGGCACCUGUGGGGUUGCAUCACUAAUAUUUGGAUGAGUUUUGUAGUUUCACAUUUAUGCCCUUCACUUAUUAGGACAUGAUUUGCUGGUAAGUGAACCUCAACUAGGGGGAGGAUGCAAGGGAAAAAUGUGUU